rnacentral:rRNA from 1 species
UUGACCUCGGAUCAGGUAGGGGUACCCGCUGAACUUAAGCAUAUCAAUAGCGGAGGAAAAGAAACCAACAGGAUUGC